AAAUAAUUUUAGGGGUGUCCAAAUGGACUGAGAAAUACUCUUUGAACCUGUCCGGUAAUUCAGAAAGGGAGAAAAAUGAAUAAUAUAA
rnacentral:ncRNA from 1 species